AUACGUAGGUGACAAGCGUUAUCCGGAUUUACUGGGCGUAAAGGGCGUGUAGGCGGUCUUGCAAGUCAGAAGUGAAAUUCCUGAGCUCAACUCGGGCGCUGCUUCUGAAACUGCAGGACUUGAGUGCUGGAGGGGAUAGCGGAAUUCCUAGUGGAGCGGUAAAAUGCGCAGAUAUUAGGAAGAACACCGGUGGCGAAGGCGGCUAUCUGGACAGUAACUGACGCUGAGGCGCGAAAGCGUGGGGAGCAAACAGAAUUAGAUACCCUGGUAGUCCACACUGUAAACGAUGAAUGCUAGGUGUAGGGGGUAUCGACCCCUUCUGUGCCGCAGUCAACACAAUAAGCAUUCCGCCUGGGGAGUACGGCCGCAAGGUUGAAACUCAAAGGAAUUGGCGGGG
rnacentral:rRNA from 1 species